UGUUGUGUGACGGGUAACUUUGCAUCGCUGGCAGUGCAAGCAAUGCCUCGACCAAUCUCUGCAGUCACGACG